rnacentral:tRNA from 1 species
UGCGAGGUAGAGAAAUUGGUCAACUCAUCAGGCUCAAGACCUAAAAGUUACAGGUUCGAAUCCUGUCCCCGCCU